UCCUAAUUGUUCCUGGCACCAUUCCACAGGCUGGGGUCUUAGAACAAAAAUAGAGGAAGUCAUCUAGGCACCAGCCUUCCCUACACCAGCUGCCUCACUCCUGGCGACACACCCUUACCACAUGAGACUGUUCACUCAGACUCUGAGAUAAAACAAACCUGUCCAUAAGUUGAUUUUGGAGGAGCCCCUUAGAGGUACACCCUAUAUAAUGUUAGCAACUGGCCUGUUUCACUUAGCACUACAACCUCAAGGCCUACCACAUAUAGCAUAUUGUAGAAUUUCUUCAAUUUUAAAGGGUGGUUCUUUGAAGUAGAAACCAGUCCAGCUGUGCAUAUACCUUUAAGACCUUCCUUCACAAGUUCUAUGAAGUUAACUCCCAUACCACAG